GGAUUGUGGCUCAGUGGUAGCGCGCUUGCCUAGCACGUGUGAGCCACUGGGUUCGAUCCUCAGCACCA
rnacentral:tRNA from 1 species